CUUUCAGGAGCACUCCCAAGGAGCCACCUUCAGAGGCUCCAUUUGCCAUCUAGGGCUUUACGUGUGCUUUUGCCACGGGGCAGAGCACAAUGAAAACAACAUCCAGGAAAAUGGGAAUGGACAUGGAAGUCUAUCUGAAUUUAUGCACAAAAAGAUUGAUGCUUUUCUUCAUGCUCCCAGCCUAAAGAACUAAGACUUUGUCCGGAAAACACAACCAAGGAACCCCUUCUAUGUAACAAAAGAAUCCACUCAAUUUUGUAUCAAUACACUACUGCAUGUUUUGGCAACAUGCAAUGAAAAAAACACAAUGACAAGAACAUCCAGAGAAAUAAAUUGGUAUGUUUUGAGGUUAUACACAAACAGAGUGGCAUUCCUAAGAAUUUUCUUUUAUAGACGCAGUGAAAUAUUAUUCUUCAAAAUGGGAACUGAUGAUCCUUUUCAAAAACUGCAAGAUUUUUCUCAUUUCACUGGAUUUCAUAAGCACCACAGGCAUUUCCCUCUAAAUAAAUUAUGAUUUAAAUUGU